CCUACGGGAGGCAGCAGUGAGGAAUAUUGGUCAAUGGACGAGAGUCUGAACCAGCCAAGUAGCGUGAAGGAUGACUGCCCUAUGGGUUGUAAACUUCUUUUAUAAAGGAAUAAAACGAGGCACGUGUGCUUUUUUGCAUGUACCUUAUGAAUAAGGAUCGGCUAACUCCGUGCCAGCAGCCGCGGUAAUACGGAGGAUCCGAGCGUUAUCCGGAUUUAUUGGGUUUAAAGGGAGCGUAGAUGGGUUGUUAAGUCAGUUGUGAAAGUUUGCGGCUCAACCGUAAAAUUGCAAUUGAUACUGGCAGUCUUGAGGACAGGUGAGGUAGGCGGAAUUCGUGGUGUAGCGGUGAAAGGCUUAGAUAUCACGAAGAACCCCGAUUGCGAAGGCAGCUUACUGAACUGUGACUGACAUUGAUGCGCGAAAGGGUGGGGAGCAAACAGGAUUAGAUACCCGGGUAGUC
rnacentral:rRNA from 1 species